UCCAGUUAAUUUGUUUUCUAUAGUGAGGUCUUUUGGUCAGAAUGCAGGUAGCUGGUUGAACUGGCUUGGAGUUUUUCUGUCAUGAGAUUCACUGGGCUGCAGUUAGAAUUUAGGAAUACGUUGGUAUUGGUUAUGACAUUGGACUGUGUGGAAUUGAAGUGAAAUUAGGAUAUGUUGUGUAUGUAAUAGUUAUGUAUUAAUUGUGUAAAAUGUGGAUUGUGUUAUGGAAUAAGAUUGAAUUAAUUAUUUUAUGUGGAAAUUAUGAAUGUGUAUGAAUCAUAUUGGAAAAUGUUUGAAUGUAUUUGGGAGGUUAAUUUAAAUGUGAAAAAAAUGGUUUUGAAGAUUGGAUGUGAAAGU
rnacentral:lncRNA from 1 species